CAGUAAUUCCCUCCCAGUACUGGGAGGGAAAGUACCCAACAAGAACAAGACAYCUACGUUUGGACUACAAAUCUUCCUUUAAAGGUGGCCAUCAACUGGCUCUCUCUGUGUGCCUCUCCAGUUGCCCAUCAUGUUCUCAAAACUCACUAGCUCCUACAAAGUGUGGAAGACCUUGAGAUGAGCAUCCAUCGCUGAUUGGGACCUCUGCAACACAAAAUAUCUGUUAAUUUUAUGGAGURUUUUCUACUUGCAAAUACAAGAGGUAGAAGAAUGCACAGCUGAUUCACAGCUUCGCUUGCCUGCGCCAGCACAAGGGGACAGGACUUUGCACAGAAUUCACAGCACUCGGAGCUCUCACCCCAGGAAGAUCCUCCAUCAUUUCAAGACUGGGGACAGUAGCACAGUAUUUGAUGAGGGGAUCAGGAAACUGGUAGCAGUACAUGCACUGGUGCCACUGCAGUGCACACUGUGAAGUCUUCUAAUAUAUAAGCAUUUGUUUGUUUUUAUAAAGCUCCUUCCUACACAGCAGCACACAGUCCUUCAGGUUUUUCACUCAGCAGUCAAUGGUAGGCCAAGCAAAAGAAAGAAUAACUAGAAGCUCUGUGGCAAGGGCACUGAUUGCUUUAUAGAUGAGGUGAUUAGAUGCAGCUAUUUAGAUAGGUGGGUUAAAGAUGCCUUGCCUAAAGGUGUUCUUAGCACUAAAGAACACUUUCCAUAAAGUGGCCAGCCUGGGAUCAUUGAACAGCCUAUGAAACCCAAGGGAGCACUGUUGAAAUCCUAYGUGCAAUGCUUGGGAGGUGAUAAGUCAACUCUGUUCUUAUACUGACGACUUUUGUGCAAGAAACGACGGUCUUAGAAAUCAAACUUUUCUACUGCAUGUUUCCAGUUUUGAGUCCUGUUAUUUUAUCAUAGUGGAUGCUUUAAAUGUAUCAUGUGGAGAGUCAUAAUCAUAAGAUUUUGUGAGACCUUUAGAUUUUACAUAAAACAGACAGAGAGCAUUUCUCGUCCUCAUGAAUUAGAAAGAUGGCAAAAAAAGGAGGAAUCCAGUCUAAUUAUCCAAAAAUGAAAUGAAAGUAGGUUCUGAGGGACAUUUAGAGAUGCUUUCCAGAGAAUAACCUAAAACUGAAUAGAACAAAGGUCUGAGGGAAAAAUCAAAGAAAACUAAGCAAACUUUUCCAGAAUUCAAGAAGAAUAGUUGGGAUUGAAAUUUGGCUAAAAUUUCUGGUUUGUUUUGAAUGUUGUUCCAUGUGACUCAGCAGCAUUUUGAGCAUAAAGAUUUUAGACUUGACAGAAAUAUGUAACUGGAAGGAGAGGAUGUGAAAAAAAGUUGUUUUUACUUUA